GAGCUUGCUCCUGCCGGCGAGUGGCGAACGGGUGAGUAAUGCAUCGGAACGUGUCCUGUUGUGGGGGAUAACUGAUCGAAAGAUCAGCUAAUACCGCAUGAGACCUGAGGGUGAAAGCGGGGGAUCGCAAGACCUCGCGCGACAGGAGCGGCCGAUGUCUGAUUAGCUAGUUGGUGAGAUAAAAGCUUACCAAGGCGACGAUCAGUAGCUGGUCUGAGAGGAUGAUCAGCCACAUUGGGACUGAGACACGGCCCAGACUCCUACGGGAGGCAGCAGUGGGGAAUUUUGGACAAUGGGGGAACCCUGAUCCAGCCAUGCCGCGUGCGGGAUGAAGGCCUUCGGGUUGUAAACCGCUUUUGUCAGAGACGAAAAGGGACGUACGAAUAAUACGUUCCGCUGACGGUAUCUGAAGAAUAAGCACCGGCUAACUACGUGCCAGCAGCCGCGGUAAUACGUAGGGUGCAAGCGUUAAUCGGAAUUACUGGGCGUAAAGGGUGCGCAGGCGGCUGUGCAAGACAGAUGUGAAAUCCCCGGGCUUAACCUGGGAACUGCAUUUGUGACUGCACGGCUAGAGUUUGUCAGAGGAGGGUGGAAUUCCGCGUGUAGCAGUGAAAUGCGUAGAUAUGCGGAAGAACACCAAUGGCGAAGGCAGCCCUCUGGGACAUGACUGACG
rnacentral:rRNA from 1 species